UAGUCCACGCCGUAAACUAUGUUCACUCGCUGUUGGCGAUAUACUGUCAGCGGCCAAGCGAAAGCAUUAAGUGAACCACCUGGGGAGUACGAUCGCAAGGUUGAAACUCAAAGGAAUUGACGGGGGCCCGCACAAGCGGUGGAGCAUGUGGAUUAAUUCGAUGAUACGCGAGGAACCUUACCAGGGCUUAAAUGAUAAUUGACCGUCGCCGAAAGGUGUCUUUCUUUUAGACAAGUAUCAAGGUGCUGCAUGGCUGUCGUCAGCUCGUGCCGUGAGGUGUUGGGUUAAGUCCCGCAACGAGCGCAACCCUUGUCCCUAGUUGCCAGCACGUAAUGGUGGGAACUCUAGGGAGACUGCCGGUGACAAACCGGNGGAAGGUGGGGAUGACGUCAAGUCAUCAUGGCCUUUAUGCCUAGGGCUACACACGUGCUACAAUGGCGGGUACAGAGGGUCGCGAAGCCGCGAGGUGGAGCCAAUCCCAGAAAGCCCGUCCCAGUUCGGA
rnacentral:rRNA from 1 species